GUAGUACUCCCUCCAUCCCAAAAUUCUUGUCUUAGAUUUGUCUAGAUACAGAUGUAUCUAAUACUAAAACAUGACUUGAUACAUCCGUAUUUAGACAAAUGUAAGACAAGAAUUUUGGGACGGAGGGAGUACUAC
rnacentral:pre_miRNA from 1 species